rnacentral:rRNA from 1 species
UACGUAGGUCCCGAGCGUUGUCCGGAUUUAUUGGGCGUAAAGCGAGCGCAGGUGGUUUAUUAAGUCUGGUGUAAAAGGCAGUGGCUCAACCAUUGUAUGCAUUGGAAACUGGUAGACUUGAGUGCAGGAGAGGAGAGUGGAAUUCCAUGUGUAGCGGUGAAAUGCGUAGAUAUAUGGAGGAACACCGGUGGCGAAAGCGGCUCUCUGGCCUGUAACUGACACUGAGGCUCGAAAGCGUGGGGGGCGAACAGG